rnacentral:rRNA from 1 species
CCUACGGGGGGCAGCAGUGGGGGAUAUUGCACAAUGGGGGGAACCCUGAUGCAGCGACGCCGCGUGGGUGAAGGAGUGCUUCGGCAUGUAAAGCCCUAUCGGCAGGGAAGAAGCAAGACGGUACCUGACUAAGAAGCCCCGGCUAACUACGUGCCAGCAGCCGCGGUAAUACGUAUGGUGCAAGCGUUAUCCGGAUUUAUUGGGUUUAAAGGGUGCGCAGGCGGAUUUUUAAGUCAGCGGUCAAAUCGUGGGGCUCAACCCCAUCCAGCCGUUGAAACUGGGGGUCUAGAGUGUGCGAGAGGUAU